rnacentral:RNase_P_RNA from 1 species
GAGGAAAGUCCGGGCUCUAUUUAUAAUAAUAUAGUUGUAUAAAGUACAGUGUGGGAAACUACAAGGAUCGUGCUACAGAAAUAUACCGCCUAAUUUUAUAGGUAAGGGUGCAAUGGUUUGGUAAAAGCAAACCAGAAAUAUUAUCAAAGUAUUUGCUAGGUAAACCCCGUAUUAGAGCAAAGUUUUUAUAUAGUUGAAAUUAUUAAAUUUUUUAUAAAAUUUAUGUAUUUUUUAACUAUUUUUUAUUUACUGCAUAAAGUAGUUUUUUACUUAAGAUUAAUAAUUACCCUUUUCAUUUGUUUUAUGUUUUUGAUAAAAUUUGAAGAGAACUAAACCCGGCUUAU